rnacentral:rRNA from 1 species
AUUGAACGCUGGCGGAAUGCUUUACACAUGCAAGUCGAACGGCAGCACGGACUUCGGUCUGGUGGCGAGUGGCGAACGGGUGAGUAAUGUAUCGGAACGUGCCCAGUCGUGGGGGAUAACGUAGUGAAAAUUACGCUAAUACCGCAUACGAUCUAUGGAUGAAAGCGGGGGAUCGCAAGACCUCGCGCGAUUGGAGCGGCCGAUAUCAGAUUAGGUAGUUGGUGGGGUAAAGGCCCACCAAGCCAACGAACUGUAGCUGGUCUGAGAGGACGACCAGCCACACUGGGACUGAGACACGGUCCUGACUCCUACGGGAGGCAGCAGUGGGGAAUUUUGGACAAUGGGCGAAAGCCUGAUCCAGCCAUUCCGCGUGUAGGAUGAAGGCCCUCGGGUUGUAAACUGCUUUUGUACAGAACGAAAAGGUUUCUACUAAUACUAGGAGCUCAUGACGGUACUGUAAGAAUAAGCACCGGCUAACUACGUGCCAGCCGCCGUAAAAC